AGCCUCUCAUAUCAGUGCUGAGAUUUCGUCACAUACCAGACCACAAGGGCUGAUGAGACUCCCAAGAUAAGUGAGGCG
rnacentral:pre_miRNA from 1 species